UACGUAGGGUGCGAGCGUUGUCCGGAAUUACUGGGCGUAAAGAGCUCGUAGGCGGUUUGUCGCGUCUGCCGUGAAAGUCCGGGGCUCAACUCCGGAUCUGCGGUGGGUACGGGCAGACUAGAGUGAUGUAGGGGAGACUGGAAUUCCUGGUGUAGCGGUGAAAUGCGCAGAUAUCAGGAGGAACACCGGUGGCGAAGGCGGCGACCUGGUCCUUGAGCUGACGCUGAGGCGCGAAAGCGUGGGGAGCAAACAGG
rnacentral:rRNA from 1 species